GACGAACGCUGGCGGCGUGCUUAACACAUGCAAGUCGAACGGAAAGGCCCUGCUUUUGUGGGGUUCUCGAGUGGCGAACGGGUGAGUAACACGUGAGUAACCUGCCCUUGACUUUGGGAUAACUUCAGGAAACUCGGGCUAAUAUAGGAUAGGAGAUCUUGCUGCACGGUGGGGGUUGGAAAGUUUCGGCGGUUGUGGAUGGACUAGCGGCUUAUCAGCUUGUUGGUGGGGUAGUGGCUUACCAAGGCUUCGACGGGUAGCCGGCCUGAGAGGGAGACCGGGCACAGUGGGACAGGGGUACGGCCCAGACUGAUACGGGAGGCAUCAGUGGAGAACUGUGCACGAUGCGCGGAAGCAGGAUGCAACAACUCCGCGUGCGAGAAGACUGCCUUCGGGGUGUAAACAGCUUGCGCCUGUGACGGAGCGUGAGUGACGGUAAUAAGUAAAGAAGCACCGGCAAACUACGU
rnacentral:rRNA from 1 species